rnacentral:rRNA from 1 species
GACGAACGCUGGCGGCGUGCUUAACACAUGCAAGUCGAACGGAAAGGCCCUGCUUGCAGGGUGCUCGAGUGGCGAACGGGUGAGUAACACGUGGGUGAUCAGCCCCUUACUUUGGGAUAAGCCUGGGAAACUGGGUCUAAUACUGGAUAGGACCAUGCUGUAGGUGGUGUGGUGGAAAGAUUAGUUUCGGUAAGGGAUGAGCUCGCGGCCUAUCAGCUUGUUGGUGGGGUAAUGGCCUACCAAGGCGUCGACGGGUAGCCGGCCUGAGAGGGUGGACGGCCACAUUGGGACUGAGAUACGGCCCAGACUCCUACGGGAGGCAGCAGUGGGGAAUAUUGCACAAUGGGCGCAAGCCUGAUGCAGCGACGCCGCGUGGGGGAUGACGGCCUUCGGGUUGUAAACUCCUUUCAGCCAUGACGAAGCCUUCGGGUGACGGUAGUGGUAGAAGAAGCACCGGCUAACUACGUG